rnacentral:lncRNA from 1 species
AUGCAAAAGCCAUCUAUUUUUAAAACAUCUCAGAAGGAUGUGCAAGAAAAAGAAUUUACAGCUUGCAGGUUCUCAAAAGCUGAUCUUGGGAAGACAAAAAGCUUUUCUCAAAGCAAUACUUGCCCAUCCACCUAUUUCAGAGGAACACAACAUCCAACAAGGCUAGUCUUUUGUUGCACUGGUGGCCAGAGUUGGACACAACUGGAAAAGGCUGCAGAGUUUGAAGAGGUAUUCAGCAAACUCCUGCAACACUCGAUCUGGGAGACAUUCAAGUUACAUCUGGCACGUUAUCAGAAAGCAGAGAACUGCAGCUUGAAGAUGCUGGAGUCCAUGCUUGCCUUGGACAGCAGGUAGUUUCUCAAUAUGGAUUACUUUUUGCCUUCUAGCCUUUUAAUUUUUUCUCUUUUGAGACCUUAUCCUGAAUGAUAUUACCAAUAUCUAUUUCUCUCUCUCUCUCUCUUUUUUUUUUUUUUUUUUUUUUUUUUUAGCAACGGAAACUCAUUUUAACCACUGUGAUUUCUAAUCUCAUUGCAAUUGUAGCAUUCAAGAAUGAAAGGCUCUCAAAUUACAUUAAACUGAUCAGGAGACACUCUGGGAAAUGCUAUAUUUUAAACAUCAGAUAGCAACUUGAGCCGUAAAUUCAGAACAAUGGACUGUACUAACUAGAUAAGGAAGAGAGAGUUAAUUUCAAAUUACAUGAUUUAAAAAGACACUCAGCUGCAGUCUCCCUGUAAUCACCAGACCAGUUCUCCAAGGAUUCAGCUCAGUUAAAACAUCAUUUAUCUGCUGUGAUUCCUGCUGUACUUUAUUUCAAAGAUGCAGGAUUUUCAGAGCAGCUCUGUGACAUUUUUUUUUAUUAUCUACCAUCAAUGAUUCAAGAGGGGAAAAGUAUACUAAAAAUUGGGGAUUUGGUGCUCACAUCCUUCACAAAGACAAGAUACUUGCAUCUCUGUUGAUGCAAGGCAAGGGCACAGUGGUAUGAUCACUCUGGGAGAAAAGGUGAACUCUUGCCUCUCUGUGCUGCAGGGAUUUCUAUUUCUGGCUAUGCUUAGAAUUUAUCAGGAAACAUCACCUGGCAUGGGGCAACAUUGAGGAGAUCAUGCUGACUAGGAGAAUGGGUUUGGCUCUACACUGGCUUUGGCUCAACUGGAAUGCCCUGGAAAGAAACAAAAGUUUAGGGAAAGCAUGCUCUCUAACAGCAAUAACAACAACAACAAAAAAAGAUAAAAAUAUACUCAAAGAUUUAAAACUACCAUGUCUGUCAUCUGAAUAUAUGAAUAGAAACAUAUAAAAUAAUGUGCUUGUACAAAUCCAAAGAAAACACUCCAGCGGUUUGGCUUAGGCUGCAUCCAGGUCGAAAAUGUAUAUAUUUAAAAAUAAUUUUUCACAAAGGUAAAGAAAGAGAUGAAUUCCCACAACAAUACUAAUUCUGAAAUGAAUGAAUUUCAAAUAACUAUCCACUCAUAUAAUAGGAGAUUGAUGGAGAAACGCCUUUGUGACCUUGCUCAAGGCUGAGUUUCCUCAUGAAUGCUCAUUUCACUAUGGUACAAUCUGAAAAACUUCUACAAUCAUUCAAGGCUUUUAAAACUGGAACAAUCUCUGAAACCAGUGUUUGGUGACAGAAAAAGUCACCAGAAGAACCAGAAACAGAAUUGCUCAGGUGGUGGUCAGACUGCUACAGUCAUCCUGAAUUAUGAGACUGCUAUGAUUCACUGUGGAUAUUUGGUCAAAGAGUUUAAAAUUCUACAGAAUGUAUCUGCACAGAUUUCAAGCUCAACGGUGAUUGAUGUGUGACUGGGUUUAACCUGAGGCUAACAUGAAAUUAAAAACAUAGGUAAACAACACUGCAAUUUGAACAGACAGUAGUGCCAAGAAAUAAAUGUUUACUACACAGAAAAGGAAUUUGAAAA